UGAGGUACCCCCCGCUCUGGAC
rnacentral:misc_RNA from 1 species